UAAAAGUUAUUUACGUUGCUCUGGAUAAGAGCAUCUGUUAAAUGACUGUAGUUUAAUGUAAAGUAAUGUCGUUUGUGAAUGAUUCGUUCCUUUUGAAUAAAUCCUUUUGGUGAACGAACGGAACUGACUCACCUCCAUGUAAGGAUUUGCUCCUUUCGUUCACCCCUCAGUAAGUUAAACUGGGAACUAGCCAUUCGCUGAAGCUGCAGCUAAUCUUCCUAUUUUAACAUUUUUCACCAUGGGGCUCUGUUGUCUGUACAAGCCAUUAGCCAAUGACAACAUUGAUCUGCUUGAGCGGGGCGUGCUUUGUUCUAUGCCCCUCCCUUCAGUGUGACCGAAACAAAAACAGUUCAGUUCCUAAACUGGAAGUGGUGGGGACCGAAUCUAUGGAGGAACUGGACAUUCAGAUUCCUUGAGUCCGGGCCCAGAACUGGAAAGUGUUUAACACAAGUGGCUGCAGCUGUACAUGGCAUCCUCAGCCUAAUGCCUUCGUAUUGCAGUGAUGAACUUGCCUGAGUAAUGAGUAGAUCUAUAGAAUUAAAAGAAUUUGAUUACACUAGCUGGUUUGCCCAGUUACUUCUGAGAAAUGCUAUAGGCAAUGAGUAGCCUACUCUCUUAUUUGUGUGAUGUAAAUAAACCCUGAACAAAAGAGGCCAUUCAUUUCUAACACAACACAGUUUCCCAACACAAAUACACAUAGCUACAGUCAAGGCACAUAAAAUCAUAUCUGAUCAUUCCGCUGCAGUAAUGCACGGCAUGGCAGUUCAGUAGAAUCUCAUUUACGGGCCAUAAAAUUAAGACAGCCACGGACUAUGAACAUAAAAAGUGUAAAACUGAAAUGUAAAAUCACAAUUUUGGCUAGCUAUUUUAUGACCGGUUUUAUCUGCACCAUAAAGCUACAAAUUCAUAAUAUAUUGUAAUCAUCAACCAUUCUGUCGUUUGCAAAUUAUUUAGUAGGCCAACCUGUGCCUAUCUGUGAGCAAACAGUAAACGCUGCUUGAAUAAAUAGCAAGAAAACAUGCCCAGAUCAUUUUUAAAUUGGCAAAAUGUUUCGAAGUAGGCCUAUCUGUGAAUCGCAUAAUAGCAGUGUCAACCUGUGCUAGAUUAAUGUAGGAAUUCACAUACAAAGCACAGUGUCACAGUAAAUACAGAUUAAAAAUUUACAUAUUGAGUCCUACUAAAUCAAUCUAGACUCGUACAAACCAAUUCACACAUAUGUGAAUUGUAUGCUUGUAGAGCCAAGUUACUUGAAACAAUUUAGGUUUUUUCAGAAUAAAACACAGUGACAUCAGGGCUGUUUCUCAAUAAGUGUUCUUGGCCGUUCUUUUGUUCUUGUGAACUCAUUUGACGUCAUCUUCCACUGCCCAAGUUCAAUCCCAAUACCAAGAACGCCAAACUACGAGACCGGUCAAAGUGCCCGGAUGUGAACUUGACCCACCCAUUUUAACGAGGAUGCAUCGAUUAGCGACUUGCCAGCCAGAACUAAUUGAACGUCCCAGAAGUCAUUGCGAGAAUCGACAACGAUGGCAGCAGGAGAAACCAUCCAUAAUUGGACUGCUGAGGAGACCAGAGCCCUCAUAGACUGGAGGGGGGCAAAUGAGGUCCCUCUUCACGGGGAGGAAGAAUUCCGCCAAGAAUGGAUGGGAAGUCCUUGUGAGUCAGGCCGGAUAAAGCAUCAGCGCAAAGCAGGCCAAGAAGAAGUGGAAUAAUUUAAAAGAAAAAUACAAGCUGGGGUCUGUGUCCCUGUCUCCUGCCCAGCCAGGUUCCCUACGGCUGGGGUCCACGUUCCUGUCUCCGGCCCAGCCGGGUUCCCUGCAGCUGGGGUCUGUGUUCCUGUCCCCUGCUCCGCCCCAAGUCCCGGAGGGGCCUGCUCGGCCUGCUUCGCCCCGCGCCCUGGAGAAGCCUCACGCUUUGUCCCGCGCCCUGGAGAAGCCUCACGCUUUGUCCCGCACCCAGGAGAAGCCUCAUGCUUCGUCCCGCGCCCAGGAGAAGCCUCACGCUUCGUCCCGCGCCCAGGAGAGUUCUCCUGCCCAGCUGGGUUCCCUACGGCUGGGGUCUGUGUCCCUGUCUCCUGCCCUGCCCGGUUCUCCUGCCCUGCCCGGAGCUCUGGCGCCCCCUGUAGCUCUGGCGCCCCCUGUAGCUCCGGUGCCCCCUAGUGUUCCCUCGUGCUCUAGUGUUCCCUCGUCCUCCAGUGUUCGUCUCUCCCCCGGUGUCGUCGCUCCCCCCAGUGGUCGCCCCUCCCCCGGUGUCGUCGCUUC